UUUUACACUUGUAUUGUGAAAUUGGUCACUGUUUUGUUGUAGUGCUAUUAUGAUAUAUCUGAAUUGCCAUGUUUCAUUGGAAGCAGGGUUUUAGGGUUUUCCGAUUGUCAUUUUUUUAUAAAAUUUUUAAAUUAAGAGUAUAUAUAUAUGAUCUCCCUUUUUAUGAUGGUUUUACACUAUAAUUGUAUUCUAAACUAGAAUUUGCUUUAUCAUUGCUAUUUCUAGGUGUAUCAAUUCUCAGCUUUUG
rnacentral:misc_RNA from 1 species